rnacentral:rRNA from 1 species
UACAGAGGUGGCAAGCGUUGUUCGGAAUUACUGGGCGUAAAGGGCGCGUAGGCGGCCCUCUAAGUCAGACGUGAAAUCCCCCGGCUUAACCUGGGAACUGCGUCUGAUACUGGAGGGCUUGAGUAUGGGAGAGGGGUGUAGAAUUCCAGGUGUAGCGGUGAAAUGCGUAGAUAUCUGGAGGAAUACCGGUGGCGAAGGCGGCAUCCUGGACCGGCAUUGACGCUGAGGAGCGAAAGCCAGGGGAGCAAACGGG